UAGGGAAUCUUCGGCAAUGGACGAAAGUCUGACCGAGCAACGCCGCGUGAGUGAAGAAGGUUUUCGGAUCGUAAAACUAUGUUGUUAGAGAAGAACAAGGACGUUAGUAACUGAACGUCCCCUGACGGUAUCUAACCAGAAAGCCACGGCUAACUACGUGCCAGCCGCCGCGGUAAUACGUAGGUGGCAAGCGUUGUCCGGAUUUAUUGGGCGUAAAGCGAGCGCAGGCGGUUUCUUAAGUCUGAUGUGAAAGCCCCCGGCUCAACCGGGGAGGGUCAUUGGAAACGGGGAGACUGGAGUGCAGAAGAGGAGAGUGGAAUUCCAUGUGUAGCGGUGAAAUGCGUAGAUAUAGGGAGGAAAACAAGUGGCGAAGGCGGCGCUCUGGUCUGUAACUGACGCUGAGGCUCGAAAGCGUGGGGAGCAAACAGG
rnacentral:rRNA from 1 species